rnacentral:rRNA from 2 species
UUGGAGGGCAAGUCUGGUGCCAGCAGCCGCGGUAAUUCCAGCUCCAAUAGCGUAUAUUAAAGUUGUUGCAGUUAAAAAGCUCGUAGUUGAAUUUCGGGAUCAAUAUUUCGGUCAUGCCGUUGGUCUGCACUGUUAUCAUUGAUUUCUCACCUUCUAAAGAACCGUAAUGCCAUUAAUUUGGUGUUACGGGGAAUUAGGACUGUUACCUUGAAAAAAUUAGAGUGUUUAAAGCAGGCUCACGCUUGAAUACAUUAGCAUGGAAUAAUGAAAUGGGACAUCCGAUUCUAUUUUGUUGGUUUCUAGGAUCGAUGUAAUGAUUAAUAGGGAUAGUUGGGGGCAUUAGUAUUCAAUUGUCAGAGGUGAAAUUCUUGGAUUUAUUGAAGACUAACUACUGCGAAAGCAUUUGCCAAGGAUGUUUUCAUUAAUCAAGAACGGAAGUUAGGGGAUCGAAGACGAUCAGAUACCGUCGUAGUCUUAACCAUAAACUAUGCCGACUAGGGAUCGGAUGAUGUUAAUUUUUUAAUGACUCAUUCGGCGCCUUACGGGAAAC